UGCCAAUUUCCUGUUAGUUUAUAUUCGGUGUGGUUCGGUCCUAUUGAUAUUACAAUGUCCAUAUGCGCCACGGUUGGGUUGCAGGAGCCACCGGUGCUGAUUGUGGCUCGCCCACUUGCCUAGCGACAUGUUGUAGUGGUGUAGUUGGGCUAUUCAUGCAAGCUGUCAAGGGCUGCCUGAUCAUCCUAGCCACGGAUAGCGGUGUUGACUCCAUGUGUUUGGUUCGGGGGCUAACUGGAGUUGGCCAGGUGAGGUAGCCAUGGCCGCUUGAUCAUGCCAUCUGGUAGCCUGUGGGUUCAGGAAAUUCUUGAAACCACACAAGCAAAGAUGGCGUUUUUCAGAAUUGAUUGGAUCGGUCAAUCAGGUUCACAUUCAGAUGUAGGUUAAACAACCUAGUUUUGCUACUUUUGUAUGUGGCAUGCA